GAUGAACGCUGGCGGUGUGCCUAAUACAUGCAAGUCGAACGAACGCAUAAUGAGAUUUUGCCCUUAACGUUAGCGGGUGACGGGUGAGUAAGACGUGGAUAGGCUUCUUAUUUUUCUGGGAGAAUUUCGUAAGACCGCAUAUACUACUGCAGAAUAUAUUCUACCGCAUGGAUCAGUAGAUAUUCACAGUUUUGGCGUUUGUAUGAGAUGAUUUCGGGUCGGAUUAGCUAGUUGGUAAGGUAACGGCUUACCAAGGCAACGAUGCGUAGCCGAGCUGAGAGGGUGAUCGGCCACACUGGAACUGAGACACGGUCCAGACUCCUACGGGAGGCAGCAGUGGGGAAUCUUGCGCAAUGGGCGAAAGCCUGACGCAGCAACGCCGCGUGAGUGAUGAAGGUCUUCGGAUCGUAAAACUCUGUUAUUAGGGAAGAAAAGAUGUGUAAGUAACUCUGCACGUCUUGACGGUACCUAAUCAGAAAGCAACGGCUAACUACGUG
rnacentral:rRNA from 1 species